AGCGAACGCUGGCGGCAGGCUUAACACAUGCAAGUCGAACGGUCCUUCGGGAUAGUGGCGGACGGGUGAGUAACACGUGGGAACGUACCCUUAGGUUCGGAACAACACAGGGAAACUUGUGCUAAUACCGGAUAAGCCCUUCGGGGGAAAGAUUUAUCGCCUUUGGAGCGGCCCGCGUCUGAUUAGCUUGUUGGUGAGGUAAUGGCUCACCAAGGCUACGAUCAGUAGCUGGUCUGAGAGGAUGGCCAGCCACACUGGGACUGAGACACGGCCCAGACUCCUACGGGAGGCAGCAGUGGGGAAUCUUGCGCAAUGGGCGAAAGCCUGACGCAGCCAUGCCGCGUGGAUGAUGAUGGUCUUAGGAUUGUAAAAUCCUUUCACCGGGGACGAUAAUGACGGUACCCGGAGAAGAAGCCCCGGCUAACUUCGUGCCAGCAGCCGCGGUAA
rnacentral:rRNA from 1 species